GUCCCCAUAGCUCAGCAGGAUAGAGCAUCAAAUUCCUAAUUUGAAGGCCGUGCGUUCGAAUCGCGCUGGGGACGCCA
rnacentral:tRNA from 2 species